AAGAAGGAUGUACCAAAAAUCACCCUCGGGUUUCCGGCAUGAGCCGCUGGGUGGAUGCAAGCACCGUUUACUGAGACGGAAGACGGAGGAGCCAGCGUUGAAGGAUGGUGCAUGAGAUAAAUCCCAGAAGAACUGAAAGGCAAACACAACAAAGGUACAAGACCAAAUGCAGCUGAACCGAACCAAGAAAGUAACCGGGGUGGCGGGAUCUGGAGGCAGGCCUCUUGGAGCUGACUGGCCUGAACGCCCUUCCACGGGAGGCCCCAGGGAGCACCUUGUUCCCUCCGCCACGCGGGGACACAGCAAGAAGACGCGUCCCUGAACCGGGAAGCAGGUUCUCACCAGCCCGUGACUCUGGGGGUCCCCCAGCCUUGGACUCCGCAGCCUCCAGAACCGUGAGAACGAAGUGGUUCUUGCUUCGGCCACCGAGUCGGCGGUGCUGGGCGGCCCGAACCACUGAGACAACAUCCAACACCCCAUUCGGAGGUGCCUGUGUGUGACCCGCACACACAUGAAGGCACCGGGAGUCACACGUGAGCACUCUUCUGUGUCCGUUGAUUUCCUCACUCGUGUGGUCGUGACGGCUGCGUCCUCGCUGCUGGUCGGUCUCCCGCUGCAGGACAGGCGCGGGGGUCCGUCCACCCCCACUAGAGGGCGUUGGGGGAGCGCCCAGUGCAGACAGUCACGAUUCGUGCAGCGGGUGGCACGGGGU